CUCCACCACCAUGAUGAUCCUCAGAGAAGUUUUCCUGCUUCAGAGCUGCCUGACCCGUGGUGCUGCACCAGACAGACUUGUAUGGUAGAGCUCUGCAGAAAUGGUUACCCUUCUGGAAAGUCAGUCUCCUCUCCACAGACUGAUGCAGGACUUCUGCUAGAGCGACAGAGUUUUUGCAGAAUCCAGUUGAGGUCUAUGCAGCCUUUGAGAGGAAACUGAACGAAAGAAUCGUCACGAAAGUAUCCUCGUUUAAAAAUGAGGAGCACCAUCAGAGGGUGAUGUCCCAUCUUGCCAUAGAGCAGGGCUAUUCAACUGGCAGCCUGCGGGCCACAUCCGACCCGCGAGUGACCAAAGUUCGGCCCACCAUUUGGUUCAUGCCUUUCCUAAGCCCAAACCCCCGGUUUUCAACUUUAAUUACUCUAAGUUCUUUUAGCUAAACACAAACAUGUU